UACGGGAGGACGAGCAGUGGGGGAAUAUUGCACAAUGGGCGCAAGCCUGAUGCAGCCAUGCCGCGUGUAUGAAAAGGCCUUCGGGUUGUAAAGUACUUUCUAGUCGUGAGGAAGGUGUUAAGGUUAAUAACCUUAGCAAUUGACGUUAGCGACAGAAGAAGCACCGGCUAACUCCGUGCCAGCAGCCGCGGUAAUACGGAGGGUGCGAGCGUUAAUCGGAAUUACUGGGCGUAAAGGGCACGCAGGCGGUUAAUUAAGUUGGAUGUGAAAUCCCCGGGCUUAACCUGGGAAUGGCAUUCAAGACUGGUUAGCUAGAGUCUUGUAGAGGGGGUAGAAUUCCAUGUGUAGCGGUGAAAUGCGUAGAGAUGUGGAGGAAUACCGGUGGCGAAAGGCGGCCCCCUGGACAAAGACUGACGCUCAUGUGCGAAAAGCGUGGGGAGC
rnacentral:rRNA from 1 species